rnacentral:rRNA from 1 species
CCUACGGGCGGCUGCAGUGGGGAAUAUUGGACAAUGGGGGGAACCCUGAUCCAGCCAUGCCGCGUGUGUGAAGAAGGCCCUCGGGUUGUAAAGCACUUUCAGUGAGGAAGAACGCCUGGUGGUUAAUACCCAUCAGGAAAGACAUCACUCACAGAAGAAGCACCGGCUAACUCCGUGCCAGCAGCCGCGGUAAUACGGAGGGUGCGAGCGUUAAUCGGAAUUACUGGGCGUAAAGCGCGCGUAGGUGGCUUGAUAAGCUGGUUGUGAAAGCCCCGGGCUCAACCUGGGAACGGCAUCCGGAACUGUCAAGCUAGAGUGCAGGAGAGGAAGGUAGAAUUCCCGGUGUAGCGGUGAAAUGCGUAGAGAUCGGGAGGAAUACCAGUGGCGAAGGCGGCCUUCUGGACUGACACUGACACUGAGGUGCGAAAGCGUGGGUAGCAAACAGGAUUAGAUACCCUAGUAGUC